ensembl:piRNA 21ur-12027 ncRNA
UUGAAAUUCCAAAGUCCAUAA